rnacentral:rRNA from 1 species
UAGGGAAUCUUGCGCAAUGGGCGAAAGCCUGACGCAGCCAUGCCGCGUGAAUGAUGAAGGUCUUAGGAUUGUAAAAUUCUUUCACCGGGGAAGAUAAUGACGGUACCCGGAGAAGAAGCCCCGGCUAACUUCGUGCCAGCAGCCGCGGUAAUACGAAGGGGGCUAGCGUUGCUCGGAAUUACUGGGCGUAAAGGGCGCGUAGGCGGAUAUUUAAGUUGGGGGUGAAAGCCCGGGGCUCAACCUCGGAAUAGCCUUCAAUACUGGAUAUCUUGAGUUCGGGAGAGGUGAGUGGAAUGCCGAGUGUAGAGGUGAAAUUCGUAGAUAUUCGGCGGAACACCAGUGGCGAAGGCGACUCACUGGCCCGAUACUGACGCUGAGGCGCGAAAGCGUGGGGAGCAAACAGGAUUAGAUACCCUGGUAGUCCACGCCGUAAACGAUGAGUGCUAGUUGUCGGCAUGCAUGCAUGUCGGUGACGCAGCUAACGCAUUAAGCACUCCGCCUGGGGAGUACGGUCGCAAGAUUAAAACUCAAAUGAAUUGACGGGGUCAUAGCUGUUUCCUG